UACAGAGGGUGCGAGCGUUGUCCGGAAUCACUGGGCGUAAAGGGCGCGUAGGCGGUCUGGUAAGCGUGUGGUGAAAGCUCGGGGCUCAACCCCGAGUCGGCCGUGCGAACUGCGAGACUGGAGCACUGUAGAGGCAGGUGGAAUUCCGGGUGUAGCGGUGGAAUGCGUAGAGAUCCGGAAGAACACCGGUGGCGAAGGCGGCCUGCUGGGCAGUUGCUGACGCUGAGGCGCGACAGCGUGGGGAGCAAACAGG
rnacentral:rRNA from 1 species